AAUAAGAGCAGCCAUGAGUUUCCAUACCCAAUUUUGAUCGUCCGUCUUAUUUGAUUUUUUAUAAUUAGUAUUUUUAUUGUUAUAAGAUUAUAAAACAUAAAUAAUAUUUUAUGCGUGACUUAUGGUUUUAGUUUUUUUAAAAAAUUCAAAAAAGAUGAACAAUUAAAGUUGAAUAUGGAAACUCAUGGCUACGCUUAUU
rfam:Oryza barthii chromosome 6, whole genome shotgun sequence.